UGGAAGAUGCUUUGGG
rnacentral:sRNA from 1 species